CGGGCUUCAGAGAGGGAGAACAGAAGAACACAGCUCCGAUGAGGAGACAGCAGAGUGAACAAUGUGGCCUUCAAAAAAGGGGAUUAGGGUUUUAACUUCACCUGAGGGACCAAAUUGAGUCGGAAGAGUUUACUCUGCCACAUCAGCUAGCCGUUGUGAGUCCCACGUGUCACCAACACUGCCAGCUAAGCUUUCCGGUUGCGCCACGUGUGCUGAAAUUGCCGGAAGGACCACUUUGAGUCCCGGAGUGCAAGUUCGGAGAUGACUCUGAGGAACUUUUAAGUUCAGGGACUACUAUGAGGCUCGAGUGCAACUUCAGGGACUACAUUGAGACUUAUCUCAGAAUUUAUUAGGUUCUAGUAUAGAAUAUUCU